UUGGAUUAUGGACAAUUCAUCUGUGCAACUCUAUGGUUCAUAACCAUGCCAUUUAUUUUCACUUAAGUGAGGCGACAAUUCUGUGAAUGAUUUGCUGACAUUAAAAAUUUUACAUUGUUCAAUACAAAAUCCGUUUCUUUUUCUUUCACGGCAAAAGACAUGUUAUUACUAAAUCUCAAUGCUAUUACAAAAAUUAACCAGACACAUCACAGUUAAAUUACGCUUACAUCGAUCUGCAUCACAAAGAAAUUGGAAGUAUACUAUAAUUUUACUGGCACGCAUAUAAGUUAACACGUCCAACCAGCAAUAAGCCAAUAAUAAUCUUUUUGUGUAUAAACAAGUUCCGAACUUGAUCGUUGCAUAGAAUAAUACUACAACGAUGUUGAACCACAUGAUCCGUUUGGCCAAAUCGCUGAGUCAGCGAAUAUAGGGCAGGGCUAGCUUCACAUAAGAAUCUUGGUAUUUUUAGUUUUACUUUGAUUUGAACAUUAAAACGGCACACGAUGAAAAUACCUUUGUCUUUAUUUCGUAAAACUAAACAAGUGAA